AGCCACAAAACCACUUAUACAAAUAUUCUCCCUUAAAAGAAGUCAAAAUACUGAGAAGAUGAGACAACACGUAGCCGUUGCGGUAGUCAUCAUGUUGGCGUUGAUGAUUAUGAACACUUUCUUCCUUGUUGAUGGAAGGCAUUUGGAGUUGCAAGAUGAAGAGCAUGAGAAGAAUCCUAUUGAGAGUCAAAAGUUAAGAGGUAGAAAACAAUAUGAAACUAGUGAAUAUAAUCACCAUGGAUGCUAUAGAAGUGACUAUAAUUGUUGGAGUAACAAGGAGACAAAGGAAUAAUGGGCUUGGUCUAAAUACAAACAUACACGUCGAGAGAUAUAUUUGUAUAAGUUUUUGUGUUUUUGUAUAAGUUGAGUAUUCAUUUUUCUUGCUAGGGUCAGCGAGAAAGGUGAUGACAAAAGAGGAUAUUUUGUAUGUAAUAUUAUGUUUGGCUAAAAAUGAAAGGACGUAUGAGGAGGUGUAGUUAUGUUAUGAAAUAAUAAUGCAUUUGCAUGGAACUUGGAAUAA